UACGAAGGGGGCUAGCGUUGCUCGGAAUUACUGGGCGUAAAGGGCGCGUAGGCGGAUACUUAAGUCGGGGGGUGAAAGCCCAGGGCUCAACCCUGGAAUAGCCUUCGAUACUGGGUAUCUUGAGUUCGGGAGAGGUGAGUGGAACUCCGAGUGUAGAGGUGAAAUUCGUAGAUAUUCGGAAGAACACCAGUGGCGAAGGCGACUCACUGGCCCGAUACUGACGCUGAGGCGCGAAAGUGUGGGGAGCGAACAGGA
rnacentral:rRNA from 1 species